GCAUCAGAUAAGACAGCGAUCGAUUGGAGGGCAAGUCCGGUGAAUGUAGCCGCGGUCGUUACAGCACCAGUAGCGUAUAUUGAAGUCGUUGUGGAAACAAUCGAAAUGG
rnacentral:rRNA from 12 species